AUGGAGCGAGAAUGUGAGUUAGGAGAAAAGAGGCUCUUGUCCCUUCUCUGAUAUGCGUAGCUCUUGUCAUAACUUAGGAGGGAAGAGAACUAGGGGAGGACACUUAGAGGACAGCUACUGCUAACGUUGGCCAAGGUCUUAUAGUACAGUGAAGUAACUAGCUUAUAAACCCUGAGGCAGCAAUGUCCACAAAAUGGGGAAUUCCAGCUGCUUAUAACCAGAGAGAAAAGGCUGUCCCAUGUUUUAGGGCUAAUGAACGCUUGCCAAUGGCCUAUUUCCAGGCAGCCCCCUCUCUCUCUCCCUCUCUCUCUCUCCCUUUCUCCCUCUCUCCCUCUCUCUGUCUCUGGCUCCCUCUCUCUCUCCCUCUCUCACUCCCUCUCUCU
rnacentral:lncRNA from 10 species